UACGGGGGGGGCAAGCGUUGUUCGGAAUUACUGGGUGUAAAGGGCUCGUAGGUGGCCAACUAAGUCAGACGUGAAAUCCCUCAGCUUAACUGGGGAACUGCGUCUGAUACUGGAUGGCUUGAGUUUGGGAGAGGGAUGCGGAAUUCCAGGUGUAGCGGUGAAAUGCGUAGAUAUCUGCAGGAACACCCGUGGCGAAAGCGGCGCGCUGGACCACUACUGACGCUGAGGAACGAAAGCUAGGGGAGCAAACAGG
rnacentral:rRNA from 1 species